UCAAUUCAAAUUACAGGAGACGGAGGAGGUAGAUAAAUAGUUCUUGAUUUUAGAACUUUGUUUUUGUGUUCAAUUAGCGCAAUUUUUUUUUCAUUUGCCUUGCAAACUUCAUUAGCAAGUAGAAGUAGCUACCUAGCUAACUACCAGCUCGAAUUUGCAGUUUUCGCUGCCAACGCUACUGAAAAUGCUGUUGACUUUUUAUUGAAGAACCGAUUUCAUUCUCUGGGGUACACGGAAAAGGUGCAAAUUAAAACCGAGGGCCGACCUCUGCCUGAGAUCAGUUUCAUGAAGAAGGAUGAAAAGUUGAGGGAGUUCAAUACCAAUUGGUAUCAAAAGUAUAGCUGGUUAACAAGAAACCUUUCAUCAAGCCGCUUGUAUUUCUGGCUUGCCUGCUUUUUGGAAAGUCUGAGCCUUGGGUGAAAGGGGGGUACAGUGACCUGAAGAACAAAAAUUGUUCAGCUAAAUGUGAAAAAAGAGAGUAUCUAAAAAAGGGAGCAUAUAAAUGCCCACAUCAGAUUCAAGCUUCUGGGAAAAAGACGCAUCGAUCAUGAUGAAGAUCUGUGUAUUCAAACUGCGCAACACAACGAGAAAGUAAGAAGAAACAGGGAUUUUCUCAAGCAGCUUAUCCACACCACUGCGUUUUGAUGCAUGCAAGUAUUGACUUUAAGAGGACAUGCCAAGAGAGAAAGUUCCGCUAACAAGGGCAACUACAAGGAGCUUGCAGCGCUAAAUCCCCUCCUGUUCCCUGAUUAAGAGGUGAGGACUACUCCACUCCACUCCACUACCUUUGUCAACUCUCUCCUGACAUGAACUGAAGCCACGUCUCAUGUAUCCACACAUCCACUGGCACUGCGAGUGCCCCUAUCAAUUGUCUCUCAUUACUUCAAAUCCUGAACACGCCUCAUACGCUCAUUCAAUUACUGCUGUGAUCCCUUCCCAACACUAUGUCUCCCAUCCUCCUCAAUGUUUCAGGUCACCAGCCUCACUGAUGUACAAUAUAUGGAAAAACCAUCAAUAUACUGAAAAAUCCCUCUCUUCAAAUCAAUGAUGAUGAAUCACAUACAGUACAGUACUACUCCAGUAACUCCGCCUAAGGCAGUGGUAAAGAUAGUGAAGAUAGUUUCCUGUGACUGUCCAACCAUCAACCAACAGCAAAGAGUCACAUGCAGGUAAAGCUUUCAAUUUGAACAUGACUUUGCUCUAAAAACUUUGAAGUGCCAAGUGAAGUCUUCUAUGAAACUUUGAUGAAGUAGGUCAUAAAAUAUGGAGGCCGUUACGAAGUGGACAUUAAUGGGUUGCCCAUGGGUAGACCCCAUCAUGCAGAGUCUGUGAUGAGGUGAAACUACCUGCUGUGCUAAACACAAGAUUUCAGGAAUGGAGGCGUGAGCAGAGCAGAGUACUACAAUUAAACUCCUCAUACCAAAAAUAAAUAUGUACACAAUUCAAGUAUGUACGUUGCAUUAAAAUGUAAU